CUGUUCAAAGUCAGCGUCAAGCAAAGAUUUGGCGUCAAGCCAUACACGAUCGAAGCGCUUACGUGUGGCUGUGCAGUGUUAUAUGGACAGGUAAUUGAGAUAUUGCUGAGAUAUUGCUGAAUCACGGGUGGAAGCUUGGGUCCCCUGCAAGUGUGGCCAGGGUUGCAGCUCCAGCUUCCCCUGCCUGCAGGUGAUCGUCGAGUACUGGAGUGAUGCGGCAAAUAGUACCACACGAGCAAUGAUUUAUGACAAUGAGGAGGUUUCACACCAGUCUCUCGGGUGCACCGUGCAAGCGUGCUCAGAGCCUUCAUAUAAUAAGAAGGUGAUUGAUGAAUAUCAGCUCAAAUGGGGCCAACCUGGCCAGGAGUACAUUUGCUGGCAUGAGCCACAAGGGGAACGUGUAUUGCGAGUGAGAGUGCGCAGUAAAAACCAUGUCAUACAUUCCAUGCUCUGGCCCUCACUAGGUUUCACCUUGGCUUUGGUUUGUCUCGUCGUCUUCUUCUUUGUCUCGAGAAGGUAUCAGUUGAAGAAUGACCCUGUGCAGAUGCAGAUGCGAGACUCGCCAACUGUCACUACUCCACCCGAUAAUGAGAACCCUGCAUUCCACCAUCAAUCUCAGUCAACAGAUAGCGUGUAACGUAGCAUGGUGCGAGUACACUGUGUGUGCAUACUGUGUGCGGCUGCCCCAAUAUAAUGUGCACAUGCAUACUGUGAUAGAUGUCUCAUAGAUGCAUAAUGAUAACAAUGGAUGCGCAAAGUGUAUUUGCACCCAUAACAUUACAUACCCUUGCUCAUCCAUUGUAGUCCGUUGCACUUAGUCAAUGAAUUCUACAAAUCUUUUCUGAAGUGUUCAUAACUAUGGUCAUAUAAAGUGGAAAAUUGCCUUGAUAGACCCAGGAGCACAUGUUUGUUUUGUGAAAACUUUUCUAUUUGAAUCUCUUCUCAGUUACUACUAUAGUUUACUCAGUUUCAAGUGCAUGGGGGGAAAUCCUAGGCAAGGCAGUUAUUACCGAUUAUUAUAUUCUGAUAACGUAUAUCACUCAAGAUGUGAGGAAGGAGGUAUUAUUAACUCUUGAUGUGAGGCAUAGCAUUAGCAAUAAAAAUGAGUAUUGUGGAUUAGUUGAGAAAAUGCAUGUGCCAUUCAGGUUCGAUGACUGAAGUCAAUCUGACAAUAGUGGAUUUUUAUAAAUGCGUAGGAAAUGAUAUAUUGUAUAUUGCACAAGAGCACUGCUGUGUUGAGUCACUUUGUAUGAUUAUGUUUACCUAGAUCAAUAUAAUGUGCAUGUUCAUACAUAGAUAUUAAGCACAAUGUUUAGAUAGUGCAGUGUAAAAAAAACAUUUUUGUAAAGACUUUACAUAGUAGUAUUAAAAACAGAUUUCAUCUCU
rnacentral:misc_RNA from 1 species